rnacentral:rRNA from 1 species
GACGAAGGUGGCGAGCGUUGUUCGGAAUCACUGGGCAUAAAGCGCACGUAGGCGGCGACGUAAGUUGGGUGUGAAAUCCCUCGGCCCAACCGAGGAACUGCGCCCAGUACUGCGUUGCUUGAGGAUCCAAGGGGUGCAUGGAAUUCCCGGUGGAGCGGUGAAAUGCGUUGAUAUCGGGAGGAACUCCGGCGGCGAAAGCGGUGCACUGGUGGAUUACUGACGCUGAGGUGCGAAAGCCAGGGGAGCAAAGCGGGGAUUA